rfam:Rattus norvegicus chromosome 6, whole genome shotgun sequence.
GGGGAUUUAGCUCAGUGGUAGAGUGCUUGCCUAGCAAGCGCAAGGCUCUGGGUUUGGUUCCCAACUCCCCC